GUUUCAGGGCGGGGUGCGAUUCCCCACCGGCGGUGAGCGGCGUUGUGCCGCAAGCCCGCGACCGGCUGCGUAAGCAGCCGCUGACCCGGUGUGAUUCCGGGGCCGACGGUAUAGUCCGGAUGAAAGAAA
rnacentral:ncRNA from 1 species